AAAAGAGUGUUUUUAAGCAUGGUAGUGUGCACAGAGAUUGAACAAACAAGGUCCUUGUGUCUGCUCGCAUUGAAUCCUUUGUGGGCCUGGAUCCGACCUACAUUC